rnacentral:tRNA from 1 species
GGCUGGUUGGCCUAAUGGUAAGGCGUUGCUUUCCGGCGUACGGAAUCUGGCAAAGAUUGCGGGUUCGAGUCCCGUGCUGGUCG